UUGGCGACGGGGAAGUGGAAAUUCAACAUAAAUAAUCAAGUGAAGGACGAGUACAACGUGCAUGCGUACAUCGACCCAUGUGCUCCUAACACCUUGUGCCAGUUGAGAGAAAAAUUGAAGAACUAUCUGAGGCAGUGAUAAAAAUUUAUUCAGAAUUAAAUCUGUUGGCACCAUAAGUUGGAUAUUGAUAAUCUGUGGUACACACAGCGUCACCUGGCAACACUGUUAUUCGGGAAGACAUCUUUGAUUUUACAUUUAUACACGGCAUUCUAUACAAUCCUUUUCUGUUAAUUACUAUUUACAAUUGUUACAUGAAAUAAAGUACAUACUUGAGAUUAAUUGCUUUCUAUUAUACAACCCGACAUACAUAACAGAUUGGCGACGGGGAAGUGGAAAUUCAACAUAAAUAAUCAAGUGAAGGACGAGUACAACGUGCAUGCGUACAUCGACCCAUGUGCUCCUAACACCUUUUCCUUUGUUCCAAGGGUUCCACAUCCCAUGAUGAUAACCCGCUUCACAACCUCCUUUUUCCUUUACAAUAAUAUAAAAUACAUUACAAGUACGCAAAAUGGUACAGCAAUUGGGGCAAGUAUUAUCUCAAAUGUUAGAAACCAUCCGAGGAAUUCAAGUACAACAAGCGCAAUUACAACAGCAAUUACAAAAUACGGAUAAAUCAGUGAGUGGAAUUACAUUACAACCAUACGACGAAAACAAUGAAAGUUUCUCAUCGUAUUUACAAAGGUUAGAAAAUUACAUUAACCUAAAAGGGGUUACAAAUGAUAAAACAAAAUCACAGAUUUUUCUGAACUGCAUUGGCCCUAAAUACUACCAAGUUUUACAAAAUAUUACAGCACCUGAUUCUCCGGAAACCAAAUCAUAUUAUGACCUGAUACAAUUAUUGAAAAACCAUAUCGUACCUGAACCUGGUGAAGUAGCCCAAUAGCACAAAUUUUGUUUAAGACAACAAUACGAAUGUGAAAGUAUUGCAAAUUAUGUUGCUGACUUAAAAGAACUAGGGGGAAAAUGUAACUUUAAAUUUGCGAGCUGUCAACACAGCACAUUUGAAACUCAUCUGCGAGUACAAUUCAUACGAGGUCUCCGGAGUGCAGAAAUAAAAGAAAGGUUACUACAAGAAAGCUCAACUACAAAGGUUGAUGAUUUAAUUAAGAUUGCAAUGGCGAUUGAGACAUCUAAAGCUGAAACAAAAGAAAUAUGUUCUGGCCAAGUAAACAUUAACAAAAUUUCAACAAAAUCAAAUCAUUUCAAAAUUAAAACAAACAUACAGCAACCUACAUAUAUAAAUACAUACAAAAGAAAAAAUACAAAUAAAUCAUACAAUUCAUAUCACGAGAAGAUGAGAGAAAUAAAAGUUUUCGCUGUGGCAAAGAAAACCAUACAGCAAGGCAAUGUCGUUUGAAAGAUGUGCAAGAAUUGGUGCGAGUUGAAAGAAAAAUAGAAGAACUAUCUGAGGCAGUAAUGAAAAUUUAUUCAGAAUUAAAUCUGUUGGCACCAUAAGUUGGAUAUUGAUAAUCUGAGGUACACACAGCGUCACCUGGCAACACUGUUAUUCAGGAAGACAUCUUUGAUUUUACAUUUAUACACGGCAUUCUAUACAAUCCUUUUCUGUUAAUUACUGUUUACAAUUGUUACAUGAAAUAAAGUACAUACUUGAGA